rnacentral:rRNA from 1 species
GAGAGACCGGCGCACGGGUGCGUAACGCGUAUGUAACUUGCCUCUAUCACUGGGAUAGCCCGGGGAAACCCGGAUUAAUACCGGAUAUACUAAGUAGUAACCUUACUAUUUAUUCAAAGAUUAUCGGAUAGAGAUAGGCAUGCGUAGGAUUAGUUAGUUGGUAAGGUAACGGCUUACCAAGACGAUGAUCCUUAGGGGGCCUGAGAGGGUGAUCCCCACACUGGAACUGAGACACGGACCAG